rnacentral:rRNA from 1 species
UACGAAGGGUGCAAGCGUUACUCGGAAUUACUGGGCGUAAAGCGUGCGUAGGUGGUUUGUUAAGUCUGAUGUGAAAGCCCCGGGCUCAACCUGGGAAUUGCAUUGGAUACUGGCAGGCUAGAGUGCGGUAGAGGGUAGUGGAAUUCCCGGUGUAGCAGUGAAAUGCGUAGAGAUCGGGAGGAACAUCUGUGGCGAAGGCGACUGCCUGGACCAGCACUGACACUGAGGCACGAAAGCGUGGGGAGCAAACAGGAUUAGAUACCCUGGUAGUCCACGCCCUAAACGAUGCGAACUGGAUGUUGGGAGCAAUCUGGCUCUCAGUAUCGAAGCUAACGCGUUAAGUUCGCCGCCUGGGGAGUACGGUCGCAAGACUGAA